rnacentral:tRNA from 1 species
GCCCGCGUAGGCCAACAGGUGAGGCCACCGUCCUUAUAAGACGGCGAUUGCGGGUUCAAAUCCCGCCGCGGGUACC